ensembl:lncRNA
CCGGAAGACUCCCCCCACCGCCCACCGCCAGCCCGCUCUGCGCCAUGUGUCUGGGUGGGAUCCCGGGGCCUGUCAGUGCGCAGGUGGUCAGACAGGCCUUGUUCUCUGCCGCUGCUUCUUUUCACUCGGUUCACGUCCCGGGCUCUUCCGUGGUGUCCGUGUACGGAGUCCCCCACUUUCUCACAGUGGGAAUCACCCCAGGACGUGUGUGUGCCACCCUGUCUCGCUCAGCUCUCCGGGCUGAGUUCCCUCCCUGUGGUGGCAUUUGUGACAGACGCCACUGGAUCCUGGGUGUGCAGCCCGGGCCUGCUUUCCUCCAGUGGCUUAGACCCAGCGGCUGCAGAGCCAUCCUACAGGAAGUCCGCUUUUCGUUUUUUGAGGAAUUUCCUCGCUGCUCCCCACAGUGGCUGCUCUGUCCCCACCAGCAGCACACCUGGCUCUGGGUUUUCCACCCCUGGCUGGCACUUCUUAUCUCCAGUGUCCCGGGGGUGUCUGGCGGUCCCCGAGGAGCCCAGCCCCACAGGCAAAGCGUAGGGCUCCCUGUGCACCCAUGCGUGGUACACAGCAUUGGGCAGUGUGCUUCACACGGCAGUGAGUUCUGGCCGGCCCAGUUUUGGUCCGGGAUCAGCUGGGGUGCGUGUGUGACCAGAGUCACAGUGCUGUUCCGCUGCUGUGCCGUCAGGAGCAUGUUCAGGUGCAGAGACCCUGGCAGUGGGCAGGGAGUGGGGACUGAAGGCACAGGAGGGGCCGGGUGGCCUUUCCCAUGGCAUGCAGAGUUGGUCGUUGGGCUGUACUCAGAAGUAACGGAAAAGUGGCAAAUGAACACUUUCACUGGACCAGGAAUUUAUUCCAUCGUUUUCCUUUUUAUGAACUGCAGUAACAAAGGACAGAAGAACAAGCAGUCAGGCAGUUUUCCUCAGGAGGCUGAGUGGGAGAAAGAGCCCAGCAGUUGUGUGUUGGCCCUGAAGACUGGCAGCUUGUGGAGUGUGUGUGUGUGUGUGUGUGUGUGUGUGUGCGCGCGAUCGAGCGUGUAGGUACAGGGGAUUGAGUUUGAACCCAGGGCCUUUGCACGGAGCCACAUCCCACCCCGUUUUAUUAGCGCAUUUGCAGAACACAGCGCUCACACCCCGUGGGGAGUCAGUGCGGGAACAGAGCACACCCUCAGCCUCCUCAGCCCUCUUCCAUGCCCUCCUCCUCCCUCUCUCUCCACCCCUUGGUCUCCUUCCCAGGUGCGAAAGAAAGCUCUCUGUUCCUGUCAUCUCUUAUUUUGCUCUUCAUUUACACUUUGGGUUUCUCGUAAGAAAAGCCAUGUGACAUUUAAGCUGUGUGUCUGAAUAGGUUUUGACUUAACAUUAUGGUCUCAAGGUCCAUCCAUUUUUCUUCAAAUGACUCAAAUUUAUUCUUCUUUAUAGCAGCCCCCCUUUUUUGAGACUGGGCUCCCUAAAUUGCUAAGGUGCCCAGGUUGGGCUCAAAGUACGAUCCUCCCACCUCAGCCUCCCAGAGUGCUGAGGUCACAGGUGUGGGCCACGGGCCUGGCUCCAGAGAGCUUUAAAGAGUGAAGAGACUUCCGGGAAGUGCCCUGCACUCCAUGGGAGGGAGGGAGCGAGCAGCCCCCUUGCACCUUGGCCCUCCCCUUUGUGAGCGCCCUGUUGGGGACAGGCUGGGGUCCGGCCCGUACUCUGAGCGAUCAGAGAGCAGUUCUGUGGCUCUCACGUUGGAAAGUCCCCCGUUCCCCACCCAGAGCAGCCUUUUCUGAACACAGAGACCGAGCUGGAACCGGAACCGAGCCUGAUGCGGUGCACCGCAAACUAACGCCUUCUGUGGGUUUCUCUUUUAGCUUUCCCUGGAUAACAGGUGCUCCGUGUGUGAGGCGCCCGCCAUGGUGAUGGCCGUGCACAGCCAGACUAUCCAGAUCCCGCAGUGCCCCAGCGGGUGGUCCUCACUCUGGAUCGGCUACUCCUUCGUGAUGCACACCAGCGCGGGUGCCGAGGGCUCCGGCCAAGCCCUGGCGUCGCCCGGGUCCUGCCUGGAGGAGUUCAGAAGCGCACCCUUCAUUGAGUGCCACGGCCGCGGGACCUGCAAUUACUACGCCAAUGCUUAUAGCUUCUGGCUGGCCACCAUUGAGAGGAACGAGAUGUUCAAGAAGCCCACACCCUCCACCUUGAAGGCCGGAGAGCUUCGCACCCACGUCAGCCGCUGCCAAGUGUGCAUGCGAAGAACAUAACGAGGCCGACCCAGCUGCCGUCACAACAUGGUGCUACUCCUCCUCCUCUGCUCCGCUGCCUCCUCCUCUUUUAUUUUUAACAGCAACGAACCCUAGAAGUAUAUCCUGUGUACCUCACUGUCCAGUAUGAAACCGUAAAGUGCCUUAUAGGAAUGUGCGUAACUAACACGCCCUGCUUCACUGGUCUCUGCUUGCUGAGGGAGAAGAGAGACAACGAUGAGGUUUCCAUAGUGGCAUCCAGAUGGCACUUGUGAUGAAUAAAAUACCUGUCCUGCUCCGGUCCUGCACUGAGGUGCAAGGUUGGAGCUCCAAGGUGCUAGGGGCGCGGUGCCCGCCCACCCG